GAGAUGGAGUCACCAGAACUGCAGGGGACUGCAACAGCUAUGGGAAGAGUCUUGGAACAUGUAGUGUUAAAACAUAUACUUACACUGGUCAUGUCAUUUGGGCUCAAAGAUGAAAGAAAAUGGACAAAUAAUGCCUUGAUUAAAAUAUGUACCAACAUCAGGCUGGCGAGUUUGAUCACUAUUCCUGCCUUGUGAAGUAUCAUAGCUCCUCCAUGGUCAGUUGGAGGAGUAAGACAAGGUCCCCUUAUUAAAAUUGUGUCAUUGACAUGAAGAAAACCUGGGGAUGAGCUCUUUGCAUCUGAUGGUUCCCAAACACAGCCAUCAACUUGCAAUGCUCCUCGGAAAUUCCUCUCCCUGUGACACCAUAAAACAGAUAAAAUAAACUCAGUAAAAAAGUGUAAAUCCAUUGUCUGAAUACUAAAUUCCAAGACUGAGUUGUCUCCCUACCUUGGUCCCAUAUACAUCAUCUUGUAAG